rnacentral:tRNA from 1 species
GCGGAUAUGGCGAAAUUGGUAGACGCGCCAGAUUUAGGUUCUGGUGAGCUUAACUCGUGAGAGUUCGAAUCUCUCUUUCCGUA